UGGGCGUAAGAGCUCGUAGGCGGUCUGUCGCGUCUGCUGUGAAAACCCGAGGCUCAACCUCGGGCUUGCAGUGGGUACGGGCAGACUAGAGUGCGGGAGGGGAGAAUGGAAUUCCUGGUGUAGCGGUGGAAUGCGCAGAUAUCAGGAGGAACACCGAUGGCGAAGGCAGAUCUCUGGGCCGUAACUGACGCUGAGGAGCGAAAGCGUGGGGAGCAAACAGGCUUAGAUACCCUGGUAGUCCACGCCGUAAACGUUGGGAACUAGAUGUGGGGACCAUUCCACGGUCUCCGUGUCGUAGCUAACGCAUUAAGUUCCCCGCCUGGGGAGUACGGCCGCAAGGCUAAAACUCAAAGGAAUUGACGGGGGCCCGCACAAGCGGCGGAGCAUGCGGAUUAAUUCGAUGCAACGCGAAGAACCUUACCAAGGCUUGACAUAUACGAGAACGCGCUGGAGACAGCGAACUCUUUGGACACUCGUAUACAGGUGGUGCAUGGUUGUCGUCAGCUCGUGUCGUGAGAUGUUGGGUUAAGUCCCGCAACGAGCGCAACCCUCGUCCUAUGUUGCCAGCACGUCAUGGUGGGAACUCAUGGGAUACUGCCGGGGUCAACUCGGAGGAAGGUGGGGAUGAGGUCAAAUCAUCAUGCCCCUUAUGUCUUGGGCUUCACGCAUGCUACAAUGGCCGGUACAAUGGGCUGCGAUACCGCAAGGUGGAGCGAAUCCCAAAAAGCCGGUCUCAGUUCGGAUUGAGGUCUGCAACUCGACCUCAUGAAGUCGGAGUCGCUAUAAUCGCAGAUCAGCACGCUGCGGUGAAUACGUUCCGGGCCUUGUACACACCGCCCGUCAA
rnacentral:rRNA from 1 species